rnacentral:rRNA from 1 species
CUACGGGGGGCUGCAGUGGGGAAUAUUGCACAAUGGGGGAAACCCUGAUGCAGCAACGCCGCGUGGAGGAUGACGCAUUUCGGUGUGUAAACUCCUUUUAUAUAGGAAGAUAAUGACGGUACUAUAUGAAUAAGCACCGGCUAACUCCGUGCCAGCAGCCGCGGUAAUACGGAGGGUGCAAGCGUUACUCGGAAUCACUGGGCGUAAAGCGCGCGCAGGCGGCCCCUUAAGUUGGAUGUGAAAGCCUACGGCUUAACCGUAGAACUGCAUCCAAAACUGAGGGGCUAGAGUCUGGGAGGGGAAGAUGGAAUUAGUUGUGUAGGGGUAAAAUCCGUAGAGAUAACUAGGAAUACCAAAAGCGAAGGCGAUCUUCUGGAACAGUACUGACGCUGAGGCGCGAAAGCGUGGGGAGCAAACAGGAUUAGAUACCCUAGUAGUC